UACAGAGGCCUCGAGCGUUAGGCGGAAUCACUGGGCUUAAAGCGUGUGUAGGCGGACUUCUAAGUACCUUGUGAAAUCCCACGGCUCACCCGUGGAACUGCUUGGUAUACUGGUUGUCUUGAGCCUUCUAGGGGCGAGUGGAACAAAUGGUGGAGCGGUGAAAUGCGUAGAUAUCAUUUGGAACGCCAAUGGUGAAAACAACUCGCUGGGGGAAGUGCUGACGCUGAGACACGAAAGCCAGGGGAGCGAACGGG
rnacentral:rRNA from 1 species